UCGAAUUCGUUAGAUUAGAAAAGUGGAAUCCUUGUUUAGUCUUGAUUGUUGAUUUUCUCGAGAAAAUUAGAAUUUUCAGGAGAAAGAACAGAGAGUUCGGUGAUUAUGAUUGUAUGUCAGUUUGUGUGUGUAUCAUUGAUGAGAGAAAUAAUAAAAGGAGAAAAGUUUUCUUCGAGUUAAUCCUAUACGUUUCCUUGUGGAUGAACAUAUAAUACUAUAUCAUAUAUGUUAUUUGCAAAUACGUUUCAUUUUUCUUCGUUAUAUUCUCAUAUUUGGGUUAGGAAAUUUGACGCUGAGAUGCUAAAUGUUUAAGCUGCCGAUUUUCUUAGCCUCUAUAGCUCUGAAAGAAGAAAGGAGGAGUGAUUCUGAACCGCAAAGCUAUAUGGCUGCUGCUGGGGCAACCUACUUGCCUGAAGAAAUUACCAUUCGCAUCCUUGUAAGAUUACCUGUGACAACACUGAUGACAUGCAAGUCUGUCUGCAGAUUAUGUUAUAAUCUCAUAAAUCAACCUGCUUUGGUGGACAUGCACCUGCAUCAGUCCACAGAAACAAGGAACACGAGUCUUUCCUUGAAAUUAACACCGAUAUGACGACAAGAAAGCAUGUUGUGAACUUGCUUACUCAAGAAACAUACAGGGAAUUCAUAUAUCUGAACAUACCAUAUGAAAGAUAUGUCUUGUAUCACAUGAGUGGAUCUUGUAAUGGAUUGUUAUGCGUGUGUGCUCGAAAAAGUUCAGAUCCUGCUGCAGAUUUUUAUUCCAUCAGUCAUGCAAUAAGAGACUCAAAGGCAAUAUGUAGCACCAUGAAAGCUGCCGACUCAAAGGACUGUUUGGUUGGGUAUGAUCCAACUAAUAAGGAUUAUAAAUUAGCAUGAGUUACUGGAUUCCUAAACAAUGCAGGGAAAGAUUGCUCCAAGGCUGAGGUCUAGACACUGUAUGGUAAUUCUUGGAGGUGCACUGACAUCAGUGUGGAAGGAGAAGUACGGUAGGUUUCAAGUAAAGCAUUGCUGAACAUUGCACUUCAUUGGACAGCAGUUAGAGUGAAUAGGGCAUAGAAUUUCAAAAGUUUUUUAAUUCUUUCCCUCGAUAUAAGUAAUGAAGUGUUUGGGGAAAUGAUGGCCCGAGAUUUCGAUUAUGGUCCAAGUACAAGAAAUCUAUCUGUAUGCAAGGGUUCUCUUGCAAUGUUUGUUUCAUAUAUGGAUGGAAACUCAUAUUCAUGCUAUGACAUCUGGUUGAUGAAGGAAUACGGUGUUGCAGAGUCAUAGACUAAUCAGUUUACUAUUAAACCUUCCACUAUAAUGAAGCCAUUAGGAUUUGGCAAUAGUGAAGAGCUGUUUGUGGCACUAAAAGGAGUCAUCGGCUUGUAUGACCCAUGUAUUGGGAAGACCAAGCUUUUCCCUAUUCAAGCACAACCUGUAGCUCCUUAUAUGCUUAAUUACGUGGAGAGCCUGGUUACAGUUAUGAGACAGAAUGGAUUCAGGGGGAGGUUUGAACUUGGUGCUGCUUAAAAUUUUUAGCCUCAUUGUUUUACAUAGAUGGUUAUACAAAAUAACUGAGAAACACAGUUUACGUUUAUACUUUUGUUUUAAUUUUGACUCAAUCUAUUGCAUUUACAUUUAACCUCUUAUCUGCCAGUCUAUUUCCCAACUUUAAAUCUCAAUAUUACAGAAUGAAUUAUCAUUGUCUGCAAACUCGUUUCGUGUCACUUUUGCCUACUAUGCUACAUUGCCAUAUACGAUUCACAUUGAUUUUUUUCAGUCCCCUGCUUUGGGCAAUUGAGCCUGGAAAGAAGUACUUGAAAAUUAAGACUUAAGUGCUUUUGAAGUAAUCUGUGCACAAAUACAUACAUCAGUUUUUCCAAGGUACUACUGAUGUCAGGGUUCCAAUUCUAAUCCUCAUUUUCGCAUUGCUUGAUUAUCUGUCUUGCAGCUUCUAAAAGAUUACCAAGGAUGGGCUUCUCGCAAUACUUCAAGGCAGCCUCUGGGGACUGGUGAGAUUUAGUACUCAAGCAGGUAGCACCAGACGAACUAAAAAAUCUCCUAAGCUAAAAAAAGCAAUUAAUUUAUUAACUGUAAGCAUUGACAAAUCUUAUUCUGUUUAACUGAUAGAGAAGAAAACAGUUAACUUAUUUAGUAAAUCAUAUAUGUCUUAUUUCCUUUUAUACACAAUCAACUAACUAUUCUCUCAUCAGUUGGUGAGUCUUUCUUUCAUUUUUUUCGGCUAAUGUGCUCUUUAGUAAGUCAUAGGUCAGACUGAAGGAGAGAAUCAUUUUUUUUUUUGUCAUUUCUAAAUUUUGAUUUAAAAUGCUUGUAUGUAUUGGUCAAGGACAUCUUUCUUGUUCGUGUGAGCAUUUGGAAGACAUAGUAUGUGUUGCAGCUCUUACACAGGCAUAUCUCCAGAGAAUUCAAAUAGGAUCAUCAACCACGAGCCAAGUUACCACGCUCGCGGAGCAGUCUCCCUAGUUUCCAUUAUGAGAGAAACUCCGGUCUUUAAGGUCAUCUUCUCCGAUUAUAAAUCUGAAUUAACCAGGCCUCCGAAAUUUAAUCAUCGUUUUACAUUUCAAACGCCGAAAACCGAGUAAGAGGCAAAGAGUAAACAGAGAAAAAGAACAUAAAUAACUCAAGUAAAUUUCUACUACUGACCGCAAGAAUGUCAUCUAUAAUCAUGAGAAGCGAAGCCAAGUUCCCUCUGCUUACUGAACGUUUCCACCAGAACCCUCUCUGUUGAUUCAUAAGGAAAUUUUCCCCUUUGAAGCAUCGUAUCAAAUGCUAUAUGAGCUUCAUGUAACUUAUUGUCUCCACAUAAAAUGCAAAGCAACCAGUUGUGGAUACACGGACGAGGGAACAAAUCACGAGCAAGCUUUUCUUCAAAUACUUUGAAUGCAAGGAUGCUCAAACCACUGGCACAAAGACACUGGAGUAAAUUUUCAUAAGACGCCUUACUAUGGUAGAAACCCCUUUUUGGCAUUGUAUGCACAAGCGACAGUGCAUCAAGUGACCUACCAGCCUCGCAAGAAGAUGAUGGUGAUGAUGAUGAUGAGAUUGGGAGGAGCUGAUUCAAGAACUGACUGAGAAUGAUGAAGAAGGUGGGGAAAAGGAGGAGGGGGGGGGCUGGAAAGAUUCAAGCGACUGUGAUGUAUCUCUGCAUGCAUGGCGUCCUUGUCUGUUAAAUUAAUUUUACUGGUUUAUACAUAUAUGUGUGUGUAUAUACAUAUACACACACACGUAUCAUAUAUUAAGUCCUCGAGUCGAUCUAGUAUUUGUAACUCAUUAUUAUCAAUGUAGGGUUUGGAGUUGUAA